GACGAACGCUGGCGGCGUGCUUAACACAUGCAAGUCGAACGGAAAGGCCCUGCUUUUGUUGGGUGCUCGAGAGGCGAACGGGUGAGUAACACGUGAGUAACCUGCCCUUGACUUUGGGAUAACUUCAGGAAACUGGGGCUAAUACCGGAUAGGAUCUCCUGCUGCAUGGUGGGGGUUGGAAAGUGUCGGCGGUUGGGGAUGGACUCGCGGCUUAUCAGCUUGUUGGUGGGGUAGUGGCUUACCAAGGCUUUGACGGGUAGCCGGCCUGAGAGGGUGGACGGCGACAUUGGGCCUGAGGUAGGGACCAGACGGCUACGGGAGGCAGCAGUGGAGAAUAUUGCACAAUGGGCGGAAGCCUGAGACAGAGACGCCGCGUGCGGGAUGACGGGUUUCGGGUGGUAAACCGCUUUGGCAUGAGACGAAGAGGGAGUGACGGUACUGGGUAAAGAAGCACCGGCUAACUACGUG
rnacentral:rRNA from 1 species